ACUCAGAUCUUUUGUGAUCUGAGUCUUUUAUUGUUAACAACAGUAAACAAGGCUAAGUGAGGAACUUUUAAAAGAGGAUAAAUUGAUAAUAGAGUAAAGAGAAUGAGAGUUUAACGGGGAGAGAAGGGGAUGAGAAGGGCUGAAUUUACCCUUUCUUUCCUUCAUAUAAAAUUCAAUUUAUCAUGCCUAACAUCUUGUUUCCUAGAGUGUUUGGUCUGAUUGAUGGAUUGAUUUAAUUGAUCUAGUGUUAAAAUUUUGAUUUUCUGGCCCAUGCAUUUUCAGAUCCAAAAUGUCCAUAGUUCAUCUGGUAAUAACUUGAAUUUUUAUAAAAUAUUAAUAAAUGCAUCAGUAUUAAUAAGUAACAGAUGUCUAGGAAGAAAAUUUUUUAGAAGAUAAAUUCUGAAGGGUGUGUUUGACAAUGACUAAGGAAAGUUUAGGGAGUACAAUAACAAUGUUAACAAAUCAAUUCUUGUAUAUCUAACAAAAUUGUAUUGUGAAUUG
rnacentral:lncRNA from 1 species